rnacentral:rRNA from 1 species
AUGGAUGGCCUUCUCCAUUGGGAUUUCUCCCCCGGCCUCAGGGUCGAGGAUCAGGUGCAUAAACGUUUUGGAUCUAAGGUCCACUUCGUUCCCAACCCUAACUUCAAGGAGUUCUACCUUGAAGUUUCUUUCUCCUCGGCCUCUUUUCCUCUCUCGGUGGAAUCUGUGGGAUUGGCUCUACAAUCCUGCAUUGGAGGACUCAGUGAUGGUUUCAAGGUUCUACGUUUGGGUGAUCGCCGUUUUCGGUUCUCAGUGGCCUCAAACCGUGUGGGACAUUUCAUCUUUGGUCUAUGA